GAUGAACGCUGGCGGCGUGCUUAACACAUGCAAGUCGAACGAUGAAGCUGGAGCUUGCUCCGGUGGAUUAGUGGCGAACGGGUGAGUAACACGUGAGUAACCUGCCCUUGACUCUGGGAUAACUGCGGGAAACUGUAGCUAAUACCGGAUACGACCCUCGGCGGCAUCGCCAGGGGGUGGAAAGAAUUUCGGUCAAGGAUGGACUCGCGGCCUAUCAGCUAGUUGGUGAGGUAACGGCUCACCAAGGCGACGACGGGUAGCCGGCCUGAGAGGGUGACCGGCCACACUGGGACUGAGACACGGCCCAGACUCCUACGGGAGGCAGCAGUGGGGAAUAUUGCACAAUGGGCGCAAGCCUGAUGCAGCAACGCCGCGUGAGGGAUGACGGCCUUCGGGUUGUAAACCUCUUUUAGUAGGGAAGAAGCGAAAGUGACGGUACCUGCAGAAAAAGCACCGGCUAACUACGUACCAGCAGCCGCCGUAA
rnacentral:rRNA from 1 species